rnacentral:lncRNA from 1 species
UGGCCUGAUACGUUGCCAACUGUGAACAAUGCAAUGCAAAACAUUUAAAGAAGGUAGAGAAACAGAUGCCAUCCUCUAGCAAAAGCAGGAACUCCAUUCUAGCAGGGGAAGGUGCUGAACUUUCUUCAGGCCCCACGUGGUUGUCCGAACUGGUGGGAGCACUCUGUCUAUACAGCUACAGCCCACGCUGAGCCAAAGUGGCACUAGAAGCCAAAAUCCUGAAUCCCGAGUCUGUGACCAGCCACCAAACCGGUAUCCAAAGGACAAGAGUGGUACAAGCAGAAGCAGCAAAUGCCAUCUCCCAACAAAACUGCCCAGAGGAAAAGACAGACACAGUGUUUGCCUGACUCACAGUUCAAGGAGAAGAAACUUGAUUUUCCCACUGGGACCUGAUCCCACGCAUGACUUCUGCAAGACCAAGCAUGGCCACCAACAGAUACGCUGUCAGAGCCAAACACAAGCCUUCAGGGGAACGUGA